AACGAACGCUGGCGGCGUGGAUUAGGCAUGCAAGUCGAACGCGAAAGGGGAGCAAUCCCCGAGUAGAGUGGCGAACGGGUGAGUAACACGUGAGAAACCUGCCUUCAGCAGGGGGAUAACACUCCCAACGGGGUGCUAAUACCGCAUGAGACCACGGGGUCACCUGGCCCUGAGGUCAAAGGUGGCCUCUGCUUGCAAGCUACCGGCUGAAGAUGGUCUCGCGUCCCAUUAGCUAGUUGGUGGGGUAAUGGCCUACCAAGGCGACGAUGGGUAGCUGGUCUGAGAGGAUGGUCAGCCACACUGGGACUGAGAUACGGCCCAGACUCCUACGGGAGGCAG
rnacentral:rRNA from 1 species